GGAUGAACGCUAGCGGCAGGCCUAAUACAUGCAAGUCGAGGGGUAACGCGUGUAGCAAUACAUGGCGACGACCGGCGAACGGGUGAGUUACACGUAUGGAACCUGCCCUUUACACGGGGAUAGCCCUCGGAAACGAGGAUUAAUACCCGAUAGGUUAUGCUAAGVCAUCUUGGCAUAAUGAAAGCURAGGCGGUAAAGGAUGGCCAUGCGUCCGAUUAGUUAGUUGGUGAGGUAACGGCUCACCAAGACGAUGAUCGGUAGGGGAUGUGAGAGCAUGAUCCCCCACACGGGUACUGAGACACGGACCCRACUCCUACGGGAGGCAGCAGUAAGGAAUAUUGGACAAUGCCCGGAAGGGUGAUCCAGCCAUGCCGCGUGCAGGAAGAAUGCCCUAUGAGUUGUAAACUGCUUUUGCAGUGGAGAAAACCCUCUAACGUGCUUGGAGGUUGCUAGUACACUGCGAAUAAGCAUCGGCUAACUUCGUGCCAGCAGCCGCGGUAAGACGAAGGAUGCGAGCGUUAUCCGGAUUUACUGGGUUUAAAGGGUGCGUAGGCGGAUAUAUAAGUCAGUGGUAAAAGGUCGUGGCUUAACCACGGUAUAGCCAUUGAUACUGUAUAUCUUGAGUACACUGGGCGUAUGUGGAAUAUGGCAUGUAGCGGUGAAAUGCAUAGAUAUGCCAUAGAACACCGAUCGUGAAGACAGCAUACGAUGGUGAUACUGACGCUCAGGCACGAAAGCGUGGGGAGCAAACAGG
rnacentral:rRNA from 1 species